AUUGAACGCUGGCGGCAUGCCUUACACAUGCAAGUCGAACGGCAGCACGGGUGCUUGCACCUGGUGGCGAGUGGCGAACGGGUGAGUAAUACAUCGGAACAUAUCCUGUCGUGGGGGAUAGCCCGGCGAAAGCCGGAUUAAUACCGCAUACGAUCUACGGAUGAAAGCGGGGGACCUUCGGGCCUCGCGCUAUAGGGUUGGCCGAUGGCUGAUUAGCUAGUUGGUGGGGUAAAGGCCUACAAAGGCGACGAUCAGUAGAUGGUCUGAGAGGACGACCAGCCACACUGGGACUGAGACACGGCCCAGACUCCUACGGGAGGCAGCAGUGGGGAAUUUUGGACAAUGGGCGAAAGCCUGAUCCAGCAAUGCCGCGUGUGUGAAGAAGGCCUUCGGGUUGUAAAGCACUUUUGUCCGGAAAGAAAUCCUUGGCUCUAAUACAGUCGGGGGAUGACGGUACCGGAAGAAUAAGCACCGGCUAACUACGUG
rnacentral:rRNA from 1 species